GGUGAUGCAUGUCUUUCGUCAGCUCGUGUCGUGAGAUGUUUGGUCAAGUCCUAUAACGAGCGAAACCCUCGUUUGGAUCGCUCCUAUUAUUACUAACCAGGGCGAAAAUAGAUAAUGAGCAUGAGCUAACAGGGUAAACCACCGCCUCUCAGGCCUCCUCGACGGGUUCUACCAUAGAGGCCAACGAUAGACAAUAACUCUCC
rnacentral:rRNA from 9 species